rnacentral:lncRNA from 1 species
UGCUUUUGAAUGUUUGACCUUGUUACAGACACACACAAUGACACAAAUGUUAAAAUGGCAAUUAAAGAUUCAUUUUCCACAUCUGUAGCUUUGUAUAUUGCAAUUAGUGUCUUGUAUAAAUAGUCAAUGAGUGUGUUAGCUCUCACGUAGAUGCACUGAGCAGGCUAGAUACUGAGCCAUGGGGAGCAGAAAAUACCUGUCAAAAGACAUGCGUAACAAGGUAAUGAAACUUUAUAAAGAUGGAAAAGGAUAUACAAAGAUAUUUAACCCCUUAAGGACACAUGACACAACCCCUUUUAUUACAGAAGUUUGGUCCUUAAAGCCUUGAAAAUGCCAGUCAGUACUGUUCAAUCCCUUAUUAAGAAGUGGAAAAUUUGGGGAUCUCUCGAUACCAAGCCAAGGUCAGGCAGACCAUGAAAGAUUUCAGCCACAACUGCCAGAAGAAUUGUUCAGGAUACAAAGAAAAGCCCACAGGUAACCCCAGGAGAAAUACAGGCUACUCUGGAAAAAGAUGGUGUGGUUGCACAAUACGACGAUACUUGAACAAAAAUGAGCUGCAUGGCUGAGUUGCCAGAAAGAAGCCUUUACUGCGCCAAUGCCACAAAAAAAGCUUGGUUACAAUAUGCCUGAUAACACCUUGACAUGCCUCACAACUUCUGGCACACUGUAGUUUGCAGUGACUAGACCAAAAUAGAGCUGUUUGGUUAGAACCAUGAGAGUUAUGUUUGGAGAGGGGUCAACAUGGCCUAUAGUGAAAAGAAUACCAUCUCCACUAUGAAGAAUGGUGGUGGCUCACUGAUGUUUUGGGGGGGAUAGGGGGAGAGCACUAAAGGCACACGGAAUCGUGUGAAAAUUGAUGGCAAGAUGAAUGCAGCAUGUUAACAGAAAAUACUGGCAGACAAUUUGCAUUCUUCUGCACGAAGACUAUGCAUGGGACGCUCUUGGACUUUCCAGCAUGACAAUGACUCUAAGCAUGAGGCCAAGUUGACCCUACAGUGGUUACAGCAGAAAAAGGUGAAAGUUCUGGAGUGGCCAUCACAGUCUCCUGACCUUAAUAUCAUCGAGCCAUUCUGGUGAGAUCUCAAAGGUGCGGAUCAUGCAAGAAGACCAAAGAUUUUGCAUGACCUGGAGGCAUUUUGCCAAGACGAAUGGGCAGCUAUUACACCUGCAAGAAUAAGAGGCUUCAUAGACAACUAUUACAAAAGACUGCACACUGUCAAUGAUACCAAAGGGGGCAAUACACAGUAUUAAGAACUAAGGGUAUGCAGACCUUUGAACAUGGGUCAUUUAAUUCUUUUCUUUGUUGCCAUGUUUUGUUUUAUGAUUGUGCAAUUCUGUUAUAACCUACAGUUGAAUAUGAAUCCCAUAAGAAAUAAAAGAAAUGUGUUUUUCCUGCUCACUCAUGUUUUCGUUAAAAAAAAAAAUCUGAAACUUUCAAAGGGUUUUGCAACAGAAGCAAAGACGACAAGAAGAGACAGAUUGACUUUAAGCUCAAAAAGAAGCAUUAUAAUUGGUGAAAACAACAGAACAUGUUAUAUUCCUCCAGGUAGGAAAGAAUUCACUAUAAAUUUAUUUUGAAUUCUCACUUUUGUAAAACAAAAUUGAGUUAUUUCUCAAAGUAUAAUUUGUCAGGAAUUCAACGUGAAUUAAAAAUGAAUUUCAAAUUUUAGGUCAAAUAGUUGAAUUGAAAAUAUAACUUCCAAGUCAGUUAUGUUAUCGUUUCCGUUAUUUAGGCCUACAAUUUGGACAUCACAUUAGUAAAUAAAACUUUUAGGAUUAAUCACUAAUCACCAAAAUAUGAUAAAACCAUCCAGAUUCCAACCAGAUUUGCAAAUCUCACUGCCAAAUUUUAUCGUUAUUUUCUCAUUCUGGUCAAAUGACCAUAGCCACUCUCCCACAAUGAUACACCCACCAGACCCUAAUAAUACUGAUGGGGCUUAGGAGCUAAAAAAUACAAAAAUUCUUGAAAACAAAAUAUGUUUACCAUCAGAAGUCUUUUUUCUUCUAGAGCCAUCUUUCUCUGGCUGCAAAAAGGCUAAAUAAAUAUCCGUAAUAUCCCAAAUGGUAACUGAAAAAUAAAAAGCACCUGCAGUUCAAAAACCCCUCACAAAAUUAAAACAAAUAUUCCAUGCCCAAUGAAGUAUCCACAUAGACUGAGCAUUUAUGGUUAUUUAACUCCUGGGCACUGAGUGGAUGCGUUAGGUCAUCUUAAGGUUAUUCCAGCUCUGAAUUACUAGUAAGAUAACAUUACUGCAUAUUUUAAUGCUGCCUUUUGCAUCCUAAUUCCCACCAAUUUUGCUGUAAUUUUGCUAUUACUGAAUUAACCCCUUAACGCCGUUACAGCGUUCUAUGCCGUCACGGCUUUAAAGUCGUUGCAGCGGCAUAGAACGCCGUAACAGCUUUCAGCCCCAGGGGAUCGCAGCUACUUACCUCCGCUGCGAUCCUCUUCUGGAGGGCUGCCUGACCGCCCAGGCAGCCCUCCCCCAGAGAAUGAGGCUCCCGGGGGCCAUGUGAUCGCUCUCAAAGAGCGAUCACAUGGCCCCCUAUAGCUGGCUGUGGAUCUGCCAGCAGGGGGACUGUCUGAUAUUUCAGACUGCUGGUGGGAAAUGUAAAAAAAAUAAGUUAGACAUG